rnacentral:rRNA from 1 species
GAGUUUGAUCGUGGCUCAGAACGAACGCUGGCGGCGUGCUUAACACAUGCAAGUCGAACGAGAAAGAGCUCUUCGGAGCUUGAGUAAAGUGGCGCACGGGCGAGUAACGCGUAGAUAAACCUGUCCAGGUGUUCGGGGAUAGCCCUCCGAAAGGGGGAUUAAUACCGGAUACGUUAGUUUGUCAUAAGGCAAAUUAAGAAAGGUGGCCUCUAUUUAUAAGCUAUCGGCACUUGGAGGGGUCUGCGUACCAUUAGUUUGUUGGUGGGGUAAUGG